rnacentral:rRNA from 1 species
UGGGGAAUAUUGGACAAUGGGCGAAAGCCUGAUCCAGCCAUGCCGCGUGUGUGAAGAAGGUCUUCGGAUUGUAAAGCACUUUAAGUUGGGAGGAAGGGCAGUAAGCGAAUACCUUGCUGUUUUGACGUUACCGACAGAAUAAGCACCGGCUAACUCUGUGCCAGCAGCCGCGGUAAUACAGAGGGUGCAAGCGUUAAUCGGAAUUACUGGGCGUAAAGCGCGCGUAGGUGGUUCGUUAAGUUGAAUGUGAAAGCCCCGGGCUCAACCUGGGAAAUGCAUCCAAAACUGGCGAGCUAGAGUAGGGCAGGGGGUGGUGGAAUUUCCUGUGUAGCGGUGAAAUGCGUAGAUAUAGGAAGGAACACCAGUGGCGAAGGCGACCACCUGGGCUCAUACUGACACUGAGGUGCGAAAGCGUGGGGAGCAAACAGG